rnacentral:lncRNA from 1 species
UUGGAUUUUUAUUCUAGCAAGUCACUGAAAUUCCACUGCAUUACGGUGGAAGCCUCACCGCGUCGUGGUGGAGGCCAAAUCUGUAAUUGUCAAUUCUAGAAACCCACCGCAAUUACACCACACCAUGAUGGGUAUAAUGGUGAGACCAUCACCGUAUUGAGGUGAAGCUCUAAUCCUCAUUCUAGUUACAUGAUUAAAUCCCCAAGGGGUAGUUUGGUCUUUUUCCAUUACCCAAAUUCAUCCAAAC